rnacentral:rRNA from 1 species
UACGAAGGGGGCUAGCGUUGUUCGGAAUCACUGGGCGUAAAGCGCACGUAGGCGGAUUGUUAAGUCGGGGGUGAAAUCCUGAGGCUCAACCUCAGAACUGCCUUCGAUACUGGCAAUCUCGGGUCCGGAAGAGGUUGGUGGAACAGCUAGUGUAGAGGUGAAAUUCGUAGAUAUUCGCAAGAACACCAGUGGCGAAGGCGGCUCACUGGCCCGAUACUGACGCUGAGGCACGAAAGCGUGGGGAGCAAACAGG